rnacentral:lncRNA from 1 species
UGGGUCUCAGGAUGCAGUGAGUAGCUGAUGUCAUGGUUCAGCAGGCUGUCAGUGGCCUGGGACUGUCCUGCAUGACUUUUGCUUCUGCUGUGUUAUCCAGCCUCAAUUCUGCCUACUUUUUAUCCUGCAUGGCUUGGAACUGGAAUCUGUCAUCACUGGCCUCUGCUUGGUGUUUGUUUCAGGUUGUGAAAUUUUUGCUACAUCACGUGAAUUUUAUCAUGCUGUGUUUUUCUGGGUUCGCCUUACUUUCAUCUGAGCUUCCCACAAAAUAGAAAUGAUUCUUACUUCUAACUUCUCAGCAAAAAAUCAACAUGGAUGAAAUAAGCAAGAUCAGAAGGGUAACAUCCAUAUAUGCUUAUACAAGCUCAUACUGCCUUAUAGGACGUCUCUCUCAUACUCUGGCAGCUUUGAACUGUUUCCUUACUCUGAACCAUUUCCUCAGUGAGCAAGAUGAUUUUGAAACUUUUUUAAAACUCACUUUUGUUAUUAAAG